rnacentral:rRNA from 1 species
GAUGAACGCUGGCGGCGUGCCUAAUACAUGCAAGUCGAACGAACAGACGAGAGUUCUUGCACGCGCUGACGUGAGGGACGGACGGGUGAGAAACACGUAGGUAACCUACCUAUAAGACAGGACUAACGGCGAGAAGCCGGAGCAAAUAACGUAUAAUGUUUAGCGUCGCAUGAAGGGAGGGAAGAAGACGGUUGUGCUGUGACGGACAGAUGGACCCGCGGUGUAUUGGCUGGUUGGUGAGGUAACGGCUCACCAAGGCAACGAUGCAUAGACGAGCUGAGAGGGUGAUCGGCCACACUGGGACUGAGACACGGCCCAGACUCCUACGGGAGUCAGCAGUGGGGAAGCUUCCGCAAUGGCCGAAUGUCUGACGGAGCAAUGCCGCGUGAGUGAAGAAGGUUUUCGGAUCUUAAAACUCUGUUGUAAGUGAAGAACAAGUACGUCAGUAACUGAACGUAUCGUGACGGUACCUUACCAGAAAGCCACGGCUAACUACGUG